AUUGAACGCUGGCGGCAUGCCUUACACAUGCAAGUCGAACGGCAGCGGGGGAGAAGCUUGCUUUUCCUGCCGGCGAGUGGCGAACGGGUGAGUAAUACAUCGGAACGUGCCCCGUUGUGGGGGAUAACUAGUCGAAAGAUUAGCUAAUACCGCAUACGACCUGAGGGUGAAAGUGGGGGACCGAAAGGCCUCAUGCUAUAGGAGCGGCCGAUGUCUGAUUAGCUAGUUGGUGGGGUAAAGGCCUACCAAGGCGACGAUCAGUAGCUGGUCUGAGAGGACGAUCAGCCACACUGGGACUGAGACACGGCCCAGACUCCUACGGGAGGCAGCAGUGGGGAAUUUUGGACAAUGGGCGAAAGCCUGAUCCAGCAAUGCCGCGUGUGUGAAGAAGGCCUUCGGGUUGUAAAGCACUUUUGUCCGGAAAGAAAUGGCUCUGGUUAAUACCUGGGGUCGAUGACGGUACCGGAAGAAUAAGGACCGGCUAACUACGUGCCAGCAGCCGCCGUAAAAC
rnacentral:rRNA from 1 species